rnacentral:lncRNA from 1 species
AAAACGAUCGCGAAUCUGCUCUUCUGCGCAACAUUAUAAGUACCUAUAAUAUUAUUAUCAUUCAACCGGACCGCGCUCUCGCGAAAACAGUUGGACAUUGAAAAUAUCGUUUUGUCGUUGCAUACUAUUCGCAUAUUCGCAUUUAUUUAUUUAGACGAUUAUUACUGUUAUUACUAUUAAUACCUAUUGUUUGUUUGUUUGUUUGUUUGUUUUUUUUUUUUUUUUUAUAAAAUUUGCAUCCAACACUUUUACAUAUUAAUACGCAACAGACCGGAUAACUUAUAAUAUUCUAUAUAUUUAUAAUUAUGUAAUAAUGUGUAAUAUAGUACGAAUUUAUUCCCUAGUUUUAUAGAAAAUAGUUUUGAAAAAAAAAAAAAAAAUAGUCGAUAUUUAUAUUUAAACUUACUCUCUAUAUUACUAUUAUACUUACUCGUACGUAGUUUGUAGCCUUUAUAUACUUGGUGCGUUAUUAUACGGUUACCCUUCGCGUCUCCAAAUACGACAGAAUAAUAUCAACAAUUAUAAUGUGCGAUACGAUAACAAAAGUCGCAGACUUUUCCCCGGCUACAACACGCCUACGUAAUUCAAUAUUAUUGUAUUGUGUUCGUCGACGUUAUCGUUAUUAUUGUUAUUGUUCGAAAAACGAAGGACUUCGGCGCGAACGUAAUGACGAAAAGGAUACGCGGGUAUCGUCACGGAUAGGCGUGCGUCACGUUCCGGAAUCGCAAUAUCCUCGCCCGCGGUCGUGGACUGUAGAGAGAGGGAUCCAUGCCCGAGGCCGAAAUCGUCGCGUCUCCGCUCCGUAUCGGUUUUCAUAUUAUUAUAACACCUUAUACCCGGCGACGGUGUUCCCGCAAAAUGUUUUCAAGAGUAUUCACUGAUAACGUGUUGUGUAUAUUCCUCGCGAUGGUUCAUACCGUUAAUAGGGAUACAAAUAACGGUUUACGACAGUCGAAUUGAAAUUUCCGCGUUAAAACGCUCAAAAUUAAAAAAAAAAAAAACUACAAAACGAAGCAUUUUAAACCGUAAGGAUAUCGCGAAUUUUCAGUCGUAAUUAUUGAAAUAUAAAAAAAUGUAUAAUCGAUUAUAUUCAGUAGCGAAAAUAACGAGUGGGCAAGACCCACUCGAGGUAUUAUCGGACAGACUUUUUUUUGUUUUUGCUCGUCGGUACCGAGUCGGUAAAAUAUUUUGCCACGGGCAUAGGAAAUUCUAGUUACGGCACUGACUAUAUUAUGGUUUUAGGGUCAGAAGACGGGUUACGAACGGCCAAUGAUACAAUAAUAUAUUAUCAUGACAAAUUAGUUUCUCCUCCCCCCUUUCCCCGUUAUUAUUAUUCGACUGUUUUAACCGUUGAAACUAUUUGAGAGAGCACACCUACGCGGUAUACACGCGAUUUAACAGCAAAAUGUCGAGAGUAUUAAACAGGGACACCACCGAUUACACCUGUGGUAAUUUUAUCACUGUUGUGUCGGUUAUGAUCGCGAGACGGAGACGGACAAUAUUGAACACAUCGUGUAUUCUGCGGCAGAUACAUGUACAUCGUAAAAUAACAAUAAUUAUGAUAACACGACGAAACGCCA